rnacentral:misc_RNA from 1 species
CCUUUUCUCUGUCGCCGCUCACCUUCCGCGUGCACGCACAUGCACACAAGCAUGCAUGCAUGCUGCAUGCGCUUCCUUCCCUUGCACCCAUGAUUCGUGCUUCACUCUCGCCCCUCCCCCCGUCCCAUCCCUUCCCUCUUGUGUUCUUUAUUGCCCUCCUCCUUUCUUUCUGCCAGGACCAGCAACGGCAGGAAGAUACAUACGUACACACAUACAUGUAAGGAUAGAAACGUUUCCAUCGCCUACUUCGACUCUCCCUGCCUCUCUUCUUCCGUCCUCCCUCCCUUCGCCGCCUGGGCCCCGUGCGAUCACACGCACACACAUACACAAACACACACGCAGGAAAGGCGAAAGGAAAAGAGAAAAGCGCAGACGCACUCACCCAUACACGCAGUGUCACACGGAAAGGGUGGGAACGCACAGGAGCGGCAAGUAAUCGAAAUACAAAAGCGAAAAAGGACAUUGGAAACGGUGAAAGAGAAGAGAAGCACCGAGUGCAUCCUUGUAAGCCUCACCGCUCGUGCGUCUCUCCUCCUCUCCCGCCCUGUAGGGCGCGCCGCCCCGCCGUUUCUUCGAUUCUGUGCACAUCACUCAGCGGCAAGCACAAGCGCAAACGCGAAGAACAAAAACGAGGGAGGAAGACGACGCACUCCUUAAUCGUUCAAAGCACGUCUUAUCGGUGUGUCUGCGGGCGUGCUGCCUGCUUUCUCUUCGUCCUCUUCUGCUCUUUCUUGUUUUUUUUUCUCGUAGCGGCCGGCCGGCCGGCAGGCAGGCAGGAGGGCAGGUGGGGAGGGGGUGAGAGCCCGUCUUGCUUAGCGGCAGGCCGUUUUUUUUUUUUCGCUUGCCAUGCUCUCCAGUGUCGAAGUGCGCCCUUUCUGUUCUGCUGUGUGUCUCGUAUGAGCCCCUGCUUCCAUCACCCACCACCACCCGCCAUCAUCAUCAUCCCCCUCUCCCUUCCCCUUCCCCUCCCUCCUUUCCCUCUCCGCCUCCGGUGUGUUUCUGCCUCCUCUCUUUUUGGAGGUUUUCUCCCUCGUCCUCGUGUGGCCUUCUGUCUUGUUUAUAUUGGUGGUGCUUGUGCCUGGCCCCCUCCCCUCUCCCUCUGUUAGCAUUUCUGUGAGCAACCGCUCGACUUUGGUUGUGUUCCUUUUUUCUGCUUGAGUAUCAGUCUUUGUGUGAGUGUCAACACGGAUAAACAUCAAUACAUAAAUAUAUACACAUCCGCCUUCUCUUUGUCCACCACCACCCCUCUUCCAUCCUCUUUUGGUCGAGCGCUGCCUUCUCGCUCAUCUCCAUCGCAUAUACACCUGCAGACAUACACACACACACACAUACAUACACACGCCGACGCGUAUCUACACGGCAACCCUCAUCCUCCUAUAAGCCACCCCUCACUAUUCCUCUUGGCGAUUGUCAGUCUUUAUCACCUCUCCACCGUUACUCAGACGGCUCUUUCCGUGAUUUUUGCUUUCUUUUCGUUGUCUUCUGUGCUGGUUUUGCCCCGUGCUGUCUCGCCAACACGCCUCGGCAGUACGGGUGGGCAUCACCUGGCGCUAAUACAUCAAUUCUGCCGCCGUGCUAGCUCGGGCUUCUGUUCCUUCGUUUUCUUCUUCUCUUGGUCUCUCGUGUGUGUGUGUGUGUGUGUGCAUCUGGUUUUUUUUGGGGGGAGAGGGUUCUGAGCCGACCUUCUUUUCUCUUGGCAGCGUCUCCGCCCCUCGUCCGUCAUGAAUGGUGACGACCCACCUGUGGUCUCGGCGAGCCCAACAGUCGCUGGUAGUACCGGGAUGCCGUGUGUGUGUGAGGCCAGCGAAGUGCCGCGCACACCAUUCCUUUCGGCACUGCUGCUGAGCGGCAUUAUGCCCGAAACAGACGACGUCUCGCAGAAUGGAGGAUGCGCAAAGUAUGCUUUCACGGCCGCUACCACGGCAGCCUUAGCCGUCUCAAAUACAGCGCCACGGCCCAGCGUUGGGCACAGCAACGGCAGAGAAGACGGUGUUGUGCUGAGCAGGCAAGAAGAUGACAGAAGUAAAGUCGGCAUGGCUUUUGUGAACGCGUCAGUGCAGCCCCUCACGCGGGCCAAAUCGGGAGCUGCGAGGCACCUGAGCUGCCAUGAUGGCAACGACACCCCUAGAGGGGUGCUGAAAAGACGUGGGGACGACGCAGCGGAAGCUCUCCACUCAUCCACUACAGCCGGCGCAGACGACAAGGACACCCUUCAAAGCACAGUGGCAUCAGCAUCCUCGCAACGUGUGCACUUCGUGCCGAACAAUGCGGCGACAGCAACGGCUACAGAUGCGCUUGAGCCACUGGCGGCGCCUCCUCUGUCGCCAGAGGGCGCAUGCAACCCACGUGAUGAUAUGGACGACCCUCUGCGCUCGCGCCGUCAUCGCCACCGCGACACCGGCACGGAGUCGCCGGGUCUGGGUGGAAGCAGCGGGCCGCAGACCUGGUCUGCUGCAUCGUCGGCGUCCUCAGCACCACAUUCCACAGCUGAGACGCAAUGGUGCAACACGAGUGAGGCGUCGGAGCUGGACUUGCACGAGAUACCUCCGCCCGUCUUGGGCACGGCAACAGGCCACUUAACCGCCGUAUCGUCUGUGUGCGGUGGCGAGGCGUCGCCGGUGACCAUCAAUGCGCGAACAGCCGAACCUGCUCAAAAACCCAAUACGGGCGCGAACGGGUGGUCGCCUAUCUCUGUGUCAGCCGUCAUGUCGCCCAACCGACAGAGCAUCGCUGGCUUGCAACAAUCAUCGAAGGGGAGCGUCUGGAGACGCAAGCGGUCGUGUGACAUGUCAGCGGUGCAGUCAGAGAGACACAGCUGCUGCAGCAGCAGCGACCACGGCGAUGCCUCGCCGGUCUCCCUCGAAAAGUCUAUUCCACGGAGCGCUGGGAAGCCGAUUGGCGACGGCCCCGCGUCUCCGGUGGCAUCGCUCUCGCAGAAGCGAAUCGAGUCACUGGACGGCAAUACCCGCACUCCCACGUCAACACAGGCGACGAUGGCAACCACACUGACCACGAUGGAGUCUGGCAUUGCCCCCAAUCCCUCCAGCUCUCGUUACUCACUGCGGUCGGUUGGCUCGCGUCACGAGCUCCAACGCAGCGCGUCCAUCUCCAGGAUGUGUGUACCUCGACAAGAGACGGCCCCACCACUGCAUCUGUCGAUGCCCAUUUGCCCAGGCGGUGCUGUUGUGUCAAGCACCAUUCUAGGGGUAUCUGUUCGAAGCCCGCUGGAAAUGACCACCUCUCUCAUGCUGCCGAUGUUCAUGGUUGGCAACACCGCGUCGCUGAUCGCCUUCCCAAGAUCCGACACUGCGUUCCCACUUCGGACAACGCUCAGCACGCUCACCAAGUCGGCUGGCGACAAGUCGCAGCAGCCCCCGCCGCGACUCCACGACCAGGGGGACGAGGGCGACGCAGACCAACCUCCGCUUGCACCUGCCGUCACGCCAGCCGCGCAGCACCUGCCGAGCUCCAUCGCGGCAGCGCGGCGCAAAAACCUCGAUGACAGCUCUGUUACCUCAUCGCGACAGCAGGAGCGGCAGGCGCCUUUUUGUCAAUCUAAGCACGAGGAAGCAAACGCCACUGAGAACGAAUCCUCAAACUCGCUCUCUGCUCCACCGCAACAGAGUCUCCGCAACUUCACCGUAACCUCCGCCACCUCCUUCUGUGUCGACAACGCCGCCACCGCGUGCGACCCGCGCAGUACGACUGCGGAGCACAGCAGCGCCGUCUCCAUGCGGCAAAGCUCAACCAUGUCCGAGGACCAAAUCCUGCAGACGCUUGCCCACGGCAUGGCGCUGGGUGGUGUAUUGACAGGUCCGUGGAAAGCAGCGCAGGACAACUCGACGCCAACACCGCUCAAGCCGUGUGCGAGUGACCCAGGGAACUGGCGUCUAACUGGCAGGCUGUUCGCGCCGCAGCAUCCCCCGUCCGCGCCCUCCCGCUCAGUCGCCUCGGGUGCGAUGAGCGCCGACCGCGGCACGCAACACGGCUCCACGAACUGCACCACAUGCCCGUGUGGCUCCUCGCUAAUGGCGCCGCAUAUGCACGGAGAGGAGAUGUCGCUAUACCUGGGCUGCGGCACGCAAACGCCGCGCUCACGCGGCAAUAGCCCGGCGGCAGGGCUUGCCGCGUCCCAGACGCACUUAUCUGAGCUGCAGAUGCAGCGAGGGAGGCUGAGUAGGAUGAGCUCUACAAGACCUGCGGGAGCGCGGGGAGAAAGGCCGGCGCAAGUGCGCUCUCUGGUAUCCGUGUCGGCAGCAAGCGGGGCUGACGAAGACGCGGAGACUGGCAGUCAUUCACUCACACAUGGCUCCCUCGCUGUCGUCCUGUCCAGCCCUAGCAAGCGGCACAGGGGGCUGCCAAGCCCUGGCUACUUCUGCGCAACGGCUGAAGACUCUCUGAGGGACGCCAGUGGCUCCAGCGCCACAACCCUGCCCGCCUUGUUCUGCUCUGCCCUUCACGCUGAGCGCUCGCUCGCCACACCGAUGCGCGGGUACAGCCUCACGCAGCGCUCCAGUGCGGCGAGCGUGGCGUCUUUGGCGCUUUCCCAGGCACCAUUCGGCGUGGAGGGGGUCAUCUUCUCUGCAGGCAGCACCCCAAACGUGGUGGGUUGUGUAGAGGCGGGUGUGGCGGCGUGGUUGCCCGUGGUUAGCAGUGACACAGCUGCAAGGCAACUCAGCGGUGAUCGAACAGUGAUGCUGCGACCUACUGACAGCAGCACAGCCCAUUACCACGUACCCAGUAGUGGUGUCUUCAGCACCGCCGACAGCGGCGUCGCCGUCUCGGCGCCGAUGGAAGCACUGCGUGCGGAGCGGUUUACUUUUCUGCAGUCUGUGCAAGAUGUCGGUGGUCUUGCUGCUCAGGCGGAGACGGGUGCCUUGCUCGGCGACGCGGAUGCUGUACAGAGCUUGCUGGGCGAGGUAAUAGCCGAGCCGGCGGCAAUGGCCACACCGACUGUGUCGCCACCGACGCUCAUGCCAUCCUCUGUGCCCGUGCCCCUCUCCACGGUCGGCUUUGUGUCCGGGUGGAUGCGGCGGAUUUCUGCUGGGGGCGUGUCGACAACGUUUCCCUUUAACACUACGGGCACAGCCGCCCCCUCGCCGGCGAGGAAAACGGCAGGGUCAGCAGGAAACUCCAGCGAGUCACCCGAUGGAGCCCGUGAGCGCAUAUCGGCACUGCGGAUGGCCGCGGAGCCGAUUUGUGUAGCUAACGACAGUGUUGCCACGGCAUCGAUCACGCUUAUGUCUGAGACGUCGUCUGUGCGUCGGUCACCACCACCGGCACCGGCGAUGUUGCCCCGUCCCUUGCUGACGCGGAACCUCUCCUAUCGGAUUCCUGGGUCGGAGGUUGCGGCGGCCGCGGAGCUACGUCGCACCACCUCCUCCCCUUGCGCCGCCGCUCCUUGGGCCAUAGGCAGCGCCAACGAUUUGGUGGCGGCAGUGGGGACGCCACCGCUGCCAGAAAUGGUGAGCUUGAAGGACAACGUCAGCGCACGACCCCGCGACGGUACAAGGAGCGUGUUUCAGCCGGUGUUGCCGCUUGCUCAAGAAGAAAAUGCGGUCACGUCAUUGAGCUACGAACCAGGGACACCAAAGGCAAUGAGCCCCGUGCCCGCGAGCCGAGUAACAGAUGAAUCAGUGGCCGCGACCGAUCUGCGGCAGAUGUGGUGGGCGCCGGCAGUCGCGCGAGCCGCGGCACCAUUCAGAACUACUGGGGCUGAUACCCGCCCAGCUCCGGUGCAUUGCAAUAGCGGUGAGUCGGGCAUGCGCUCCGCCGCGCAGUCCCUCAGUUGCAGUUCGCUGCGCGGGCUCUUACCUCAGCAGCAGCAGACCCCACCUCAGCUGCAGAUGUGUGCCUCGGCUGCCAUGCGGCCCUCUCUCCACAGCGUCCAUAACAACAACGAUCAAGGCGCCUACCAAAUCGCUGACUACAAGAGCAACGCACGCGCUGAUCCCAUCCGAGGCUCAUUACGAGGGUCAUCGAGUCGCGUUGUUGAGCGGGCAGCUGGUAUGGGCGCCGGUGGUGGUGAGGGGUACGGCCAGAGUUGUCGUGCCAACGGGGCGAUGCUCUUCCACAAACGCGGCACGCUUACAGGCAGCAGUGGUCGGUGUCACAUGAAUGGUGGAAAGGGGGGUGGUGGCACAGGCUCACCUAUCCGUAUCUCCAUCCCAUGCUAUCAGGGCUAUCGCGACGCCGAGACUCUCCUGGAUGACGCGGAGCGGGCCAUGAGCAGGACGGCUGUCCCCAUCAUCUCAUUACUUGGCUUCGGCGGGCCAUCGUUGCAUGAGGACGAGUACUCGUUUGAGAUGCUCGGGAACGGCCUGGCAUCGAGUGUGAUGUCUUUGGCGACGCCAGCACCGACAUCUUCCAGCGCCGGCAUGGACAUGGGCCUCGUGUCGCCUCUGGUGCUCGCGUCGGCGUCCGACAAGCCGGCGGCAAGCCCCACGGGAACGAAGUCGUCCUUUUCCCUCAGUGCGCCGAGUGAACGGUGAGGCAGGAUGAGAAGGCAAAAGAAAAAAAAGCAAAGGAAAUACAGCUGGAGGUACGCUCGCUGCCUUUGCGCACCUCUCCCGGUGCGUGUGUGUGAUGGCCUUGCACCGCAGUCGGUGCAGCCGCAUCAGCACGAGUCUUUCUCUCCCGCAUAUUGCCGCGAUGUGUGCCUUGGCUGUGUGCAUGGCCUUCCAGGCUAAGUGAUGUGCAAUAUGUAUAUAUGCAUAUGUGUAUGCGUAUGUGUGUGUGUGUGUGUGUGUGUCUGCAUGAUGUGUAUCUUUACGUGAUCGUCUUUCUUUUUCUUGUGUUUGGCAUUUUUGUUCCGCGUCGUUCCCUACGGCACUUUUCCGUCUUCUGUUUACACAUUUUACGCUGGAUGCGGGUCUCUAUCCAUGUACACGGAGACGAGCAUGUCUCCUCUCUCUCUCACCCCCGCUCCCUCCCGUGCAUGAUUUCUGGUGCAUCUCCUCUAUCGUGAGCGUGUGUUGAAUGGUCUGCCUUGUGUCUUUCGAUGAUCAUGUGUGGUGAAGGGCCUGUGCACGUGUGCGUGUACAUGCGCUCUAAAGUCGUUUUUUUUUGUAGGUUUCCCCUUCCCCUCCCCGGCCCUCUCGAGAGUGCCAUGUACUGCCAAAUCUACAACUACUCUUGCAUACGCGGGUGAGGAACCGACGAGAGGGGAAGGGGGGCGUGGGGUUGCGUGAGCGUAGCAUCGCUCCUUCUCUUUCCCUCACCAUGUCUUUCUCUCUCUUUCCUGCCUUCAUUUCGCACACCUCCCCGUUGUCUUCAUGUUGUAUCUCGUGCAGAACCACAUCAUGCACAUGCUCGAGUCGUCGUCUUUUGGAGAGGAGGGAGGGUGCUUCAUCGCUCCUGUCCCCCAUCUCGUGCGAGACGUGCGCCCAUCGCACCGUGUUCUCGUCGGGGAGUGGGGAGAGAGAAAGGAAAGAAGGAAAGAGGGGGGCGUGUCUCUCAGAACUCGGUCUAUGGACUCACCCCUGUCCUCCUUGUUUUGUUUUCCUUGUGUCGCACACCCCCUCCCCGACCGAUUCUUUUUGUUGUUGAAAUCGUGUUUCUUUUUUUCUUGCUUUUUGUUUCUGAAGCGCUAUCCUUCUUUUUCUCUCUUCCAUCCCACCCUCUUCCUCUGCAGCCCUGCCGGCCCUCGCCUAUCUUUUACAUGUGUUGUUGUGUUGUUGUUCCUCCGUGUUGUGUUCCCAUUUUCCUUUUCUGCUCUCUCUCUCUCUCUUGCAUGCACCGUUGCACACGCGCAUGCUCGCGCAUGUGUGUGUGCGUGCGUGCGUGAUCGCUCGCCCGCUCUGUCCCAACAGAGCUGAUGACUGAAGUUCGCUACCUCCUUUCUCAGGGUGUGAGUUCACGCAACUUUCUCGCGCACAAGCGGAGCAUACAUGCACAAGUGAAACGGACGGCUGACGCGGGAGCGUUCGAGAAACCUCAAUACCAUUUGGAGGAGGA